AUUUCUUUCUAUCAGCAAAGGGAAAAUAGGGUAGAAAAUGAUUCAGUUUCUUCUGUGUUUAUCCCUUUUCCAAGGCGUGCAAUUAGUCAAAUUGGAGGAGUCUGGAGGAGCUACGAGAAAACCUGGAGAGUCCCUCCAUCUCUCCUGCCAAGCCUCUGGAUUCACCUUCAGCAGCUACUGGAUGGAGUGGGUGAGACAGGCUCCAGGGAAAGGACUGGAAUGGGUGGCCCGCAUCAGUACAGGCUCAUCUAACACUUACUACCCAAAUAACGUGAAGGGACGCUUCAUCAUCUCCAGAGACGAUUCCAAUAGUUUGUUGUAUCUGCAAAUGAACAAUCUGAAGCCAGAAGACACAGCAGUUUAUUACUGUGCAAGAGACACAGUGAGAGGAAGUGAAUCUGAAACCAAGCAAAAACUUGUUUCUGUUCCAGGAAUUGCUGUGCUCUGCAACCUUUGCUUGGUCUUCAAAGGGUAG